rnacentral:rRNA from 1 species
GGAGUUAGCCGGUGCUUCUUCUGUGAGUGAUGUCCUUCCUGCCGGCUAUUAACCCGCAGGCCUUCUUCCUCACUGAAAGUGCUUUACAACCCGAAGGCCUUCUUCACACACGCGGCAUGGCUGGAUCAGGGUUGCCCCCAUUGUCCAAUAUUCCCCACUGCUGCCUCCCGUAGGAGUCUGGGCCGUGUCUCAGUCCCAGUGUGGCUGAUCAUCCUCUCAGACCAGCUACGGAUCGUCUCCUUGGUGAGCCGUUACCUCACCAACCAGCUAAUCCGACAUAGGCUCAUCCGAUAGCGCGAGGCCCGAAGGUCCCCCGCUUUCCCCCGUAGGGCGUAUGCGGUAUUAGCCUGGGUUUCCCCAGGUUAUCCCCCACUACCGGGCAGAUUCCUAUGCAUUACUCACCCGUCCGCCGCUCGCCACCAGGGAGCAAGCUCCCCGUGCUGCCGCUCGACUUGCAUGUGUUAGGCCUGCCGCCAGCGUUCAAUCUGAGCANANACAACUCUGA